rnacentral:rRNA from 1 species
UCUGGUUGAUCCCGGCGGAGGUCACUGCUAUCGGGGUUCGAUUAAGCCAUGCGAGUUGAGAGGGUUUAGACCCUCAGCGGACUGCUCAGUAACACGUGGAUAACCUGCCCUAUGGUGGAGAAUAACCCCGGGAAACUGGGGAUAAUACUCCAUAGAUUAGAGAUACUGGAAUGUUCUUUAGUCGAAAGUUGAGGCGCCAUAGGAUGGAUCUGCGGUCGAUUAGGUUGUUGUUGGGGUAACGGCCCAACAAGCCUGUAAUCGAUAUGGGUUGUGGGGGCAAGAGCCCGGAGAUGGAAUCUGAGACACGAUUCCAGGCCCUACGGGGCGCAGCAGGCGCGAAAACUUUACAAUGCAGGAAACUGUGAUAAGGGAACCCCGAGUGCCCGUAUACGCGGGCUGUCCAGGUGUCUAAAAAGCAUCUAAAGAAAGGGCCGGGCAAGACCGGUGCCAGCCGCCGCGGUAAUACCGGCGGCUCGAGUGGUGGCCACUAUUAUUGGGCUUAAAGCGUCCGUAGCUGGACUCUUAAGUCUCUUGGGAAAUACGCCGGCUUAACCGACGGGCGUCUAAGAGAUACUGAGAGUCUAGGGACCGGGAGAGGUGAGAGGUACUCCGGGGGUAGGAGUGAAAUCCUGUAAUCCCCGGGGGACCACCGAUGGCGAAGGCAUCUCACCAGAACGGCUCCGACAGUGAGGGACGAAAGCUGGGGGAGCGAACCGGAUUAGAUACCCGGGUAGUCCCAGCCGUAAACUAUGCGCGUUAGGUGUACUGGUGACCACGUGUCACUGGGGUGCCGAAGGGAAACCGUGAAACGUGCCGCCUGGGAAGUACGGUCGCAAGGCUGUAACUUAAAGGAAUUGGCGGGGGAGCAUCACAACGGGUGGAGCCUGCGGUUUGAUUGGACUCAACGCCGGAAAUCUCACCGGAUAAGACAGCGUAAUGAUAACCGGGCUGAAGACUCUGUUUGACCAGCUGAGAGGAGGCGCAUGGCCGUCGUCAGUUCGUACUGUGAAGCAUCCUGUUAAGUCAGGCAACGAGCGAGACCC